rnacentral:rRNA from 1 species
AAAACGACUCUCGGCAACGGAUAUCUCGGCUCUCGCAUCGAUGAAGAACGUAGCGAAAUGCGAUACUUGGUGUGAAUUGCAGAAUCCCGUGAACCAUCGAGUCUUUGAACGCAAGUUGCGCCCCAAGCCGUCAGGCCGAGGGCACGUCCGCCUGGGUGUCACGC